rnacentral:tRNA from 1 species
GUAGUUAAACUCUACUAUUAAGGA